rnacentral:pre_miRNA from 1 species
GGCUUCCCUGUAUACAGACAGAGUCAUACUCCCUCCAUAAUGUAGUACGGUUUUUGACACUACUACAUUAUGGGACGGAGGGAGUACAUUG